GACGAACGCUGGCGGCGUGCUUAACACAUGCAAGUCGAACGGAAAGGCCCUGCUUUUGUGGGGUGCUCGAGUGGCGAACGGGUGAGUAACACGUGAGUAACCUGCCCUUGACUUUGGGAUAACUUCAGGAAACUGGGGCUAAUACCGGAUAGGAGCUCCUGCUGCAUGGUGGGGGUUGGAAAGUUUCGGCGGUUGGGGAUGGACUCGCGGCUUAUCAGCUUGUUGGUGGGGUAGUGGCUUACCAAGGCUUUGACGGGUAGCCGGCCUGAGAGGGUGACCGGCCACAUUGGGACUGAGAUACGGCCCAGACUCCUACGGGAGGCAGCAGUGGGGAAUAUUGCACAAUGGGCGGAAGCCUGAUGCAGCAACGCCGCGAGCGGGAUGAAGGCCUUCGGGUUGUAAACCGCUUUCGCCUGUGACGAAGCGUGAGUGACGGUAAUGGGUAAAGAAGCACCGGCUAACUACGUG
rnacentral:rRNA from 1 species